CCUACGGGGGGCAGCAGCAAGGAAUCUUGCGCAAUGGGCGAAAGCCUGACGCAGCAACGCCGCGUGGGGGAAGAAGGCCCUUGGGUUGUAAACCCCUUUUGCAGGGGAAGAUAGUGACGGUACCCUGCGAAUAAGCCACGGCUAACUACGUGCCAGCAGCCGCGGUAAUACGUAGGUGGCAAGCGUUGUCCGGAAUUACUGGGCGUAAAGAGCGCGUAGGCGGCUUGUUAAGUCUGGGGUGAAAUCUCCCGGCUCAACCGGGAGGGGUCCUUGGAUACUG
rnacentral:rRNA from 1 species